CCAGAAAGCUGAGACACAGUCUUCACA
rnacentral:piRNA from 1 species